rnacentral:misc_RNA from 1 species
AACCAUAGAAACCUGCGGAGUACCUGCGGAAGGAUCAUUACAGAGUUGCAAAACUCCCACAAACCAUCGCGAAUCUUACCCGUACGGUUGCCUCGGCGCUGGCGGUCCGGAAGGCCCUCGGGCCCCCGGACCCUCGGGUCCCCCGCUCGCGGGGGGCUGCCCGCCGGAGUGCCGAAACCAAACUCUUGAUAUUUUAUGUCUCUCUGAGUAAACUUUUAAAUAAGUCAAAACUUUUAACAA